rnacentral:rRNA from 1 species
AUUGAACGCUGGCGGCAGGCCUAAUACAUGCAAGUCGAGCGAGCGGCGGACGGGUGAGUAAUGGAUGGGGACUGCCCGAUAGAGGGGGAUAACUGCUGGAAACGGUAGCUAAUACCGCAUACUAUCGGAUAACCCAUAUGGGAUUAGCUGGUAGGGGAGGUAAUGGCUCACCUAGUGGACGAUCCCUAGCUGGACUGAGAGGAUGAUCAGCCACACUGGGACUGAGACACGGCCCAGACUCCUACGGAGGCAGCAGUGGGGAAGUUUGGACAAUGGGGGAAACGCUGAUCCAGCCAUCCCGCGUGUAUGAAGAAGGCCUUCGGGUUGUAAAGUACUUUUGGCAGAGAAGCGGUAUCUACACAAUAAGCACCGGCUAACUACGUGCCAGCAGCCGCGGUAAUUC